GAUGAACGCUCGCUACAGGCUUAACACAUGCAAGUCGCGGGGCAGCAUGGGGGUUGCUUGCCCUCCCCGAUGGCGACCGGCGCACGGGUGAGUAACGCGUAUCCAACCUGCCCUUCACCACGGGCUAACCCGGCGAAAGUCGGACUAAUACCGUAUGUUGUCCAUUGACGGCAUCCGAUUUGGACGAAAGGCGUGGGGGUGAGGGAUGGGGAUGCGUGCGAUUAGCCGGACGGCGGGGUAACGGCCCACCGUGGCUACGAUCGGUAGGGGUUCUGAGAGGAAGGUCCCCCACACUGGAACUGAGACACGGUCCAGACUCCUACGGGAGGCAGCAGUGAGGAAUAUUGGUCAAUGGGCGUAAGCCUGAACCAGCCAAGUAGCGUGCAGGAUGACGGCCCUAUGGGUUGUAAACUGCUUUUAUGCGGGGAUAAAGUGGCCCACGUGUGGGCUUUUGCAGGUACCGCAUGAAUAAGGACCGGCUAAUUCCGUG
rnacentral:rRNA from 1 species